rnacentral:lncRNA from 1 species
CACUGGGCCACCAGACGUGUUCACGCCAGAGUCUUCUUCCACUUCUCAGGGCUCUGGUGAGAGUGUUGAACCCCAUGACUAGCCGAGGAAGAUUGAGAGCAUGGGCAUGCACUCUUCGGUUGACGCGGACCCGUGACGCGUCGUGGACGAAGCUUUGAAAUGCCGUCAACUGAGGAAACUACGCGGGCAUCGAGGUUGAGCUUAAAUAAAGCCA